CAACAUUUACAAAAUUUAAGGAGCAAAAAUAAUAUGCAUCGUUUUCUACCAUUGGACUUAGAUUAUAUCAUCCCUUUUCAAAUUACAAAAAUUGAUUUCAACUCAUAGAGGCAAUCACAGUAUAGAAUUCAAUUCAGGUCAUAAAAGAUAUCAUCCAACUUCUACAUUAUGAAUAGUGUUCAUGAUCACCCUAACCCAAUACAUUAUGGAAAAAAAAACGAUCUUGCAGCGUUUCACACAUCUAUAGGGUUUGUAUAUAACCUGUUUAAAUUUUGAUUUACAAAAUUGUAUAGGGUUGUUGUUGUUAAAGCAGAAGAUUGAAGGUUGUUGUUAAAGCAGAAGAUUGAAGGUUGUUGAAUAAAGAAUGAGAGAAUGGCUGAGCUUAACAACAAAAUUUCCAACAUGUACCAACUGUAUAGGGUUUAUGAAUAUUCAAAAAUCAAGAUAAAGUUAGAAAUUUACCGUUGAAGAUGAAAGGGACAGAACAGAGCGUCAUCGUCAAUUUCUUGAAGAUAAAAGAAUCCAGCAAUGAGACCAACGAAAGCACCAACGAAUCGUAACCCUCGAAUAGGAACGGUAUUGAUUUUCAUGUUUUGUUCGUUGAAUUAUUUCUACAACAGAUCAAAAGCGUGUUUGGUAUUUAUAGGUUUUUCUCUUGGGCUUUUGAUUUUAAUGGCAUGUUG
rnacentral:lncRNA from 1 species